GUGGGGCUUUGGGGGUUUGUUCUUGAUGACCUAAGCUUUAAUUUAAGAUCUGGAGGCAUUCUCAGUUUGACCUCUGAGGUCAGAUAGAGGUCACUGACCUCUGUAAUAUGUUGUGACACUACAGGGGAAUGGGGUAAAAAAUGUAAAUAAUAUAUAUCACCAUGAAACUUUCUCAGUUGAUUACUCAUGUUAAGCUAAGAAAAAUAUGUAUUGAAAGUUUUUUUAUAUUUUAAUGUUUAAAUAUGCAAAUUAGGCCUUCUCAUUAAAAAUGUGCUAAUUUGCAUACAU